AGCUCAAGCAGGCAAUUCCCAGGCAAUCUUGGGGUCAGCAUUCCAGAAAUUUUACCUGUUUCAUCAGUAAGCUCUGAAGCCCCAUGUGCCUGAGUUUCUCUGCUUGAGACUCACAUACUUCCUUGCAGAGAGAAGCUUGCUCAGAGUGGUUACUGAAAACAGGAACCUGCCCUUCUGCAAGCCCUGUGCCUUCCUCGUUCCUAGCAGAGGAAGUAUGCGGCCAGUUUAGCAACUGCAGUUCUUCUGGGUAGCAUGGGCUGCUUCUCCACAACCGCGAGAGGCCCGGCUGCCUGUUUAUUCUGGAGCAGCAGCAGUUGACAGACGGAGAGGCAGUGACUCUGCACCCAGCAAUCCCUCUGCAGACAGCUCCCACAGGAGUCAUGCCCAGUGUGUGAAGAUCUACAAUCUAGAUCAGAGCAGCAAGAUGGCAACAUAGAAAGAUUGUGCCAUAAUCAGCUGCACCUGAGUCAACAUUCUGGGUCGGCCACCAAAGAACUCUGUGACUCUGUACAAGUCACUUUGCCCCUUUGAGUAUUUUCCUCGUAAAAAGAAGACCAGUUUCUCUGUAUGUUUGAAAGAAGUUUACAUGUACUAUCUAGGAGAUAAUAGGUACUAAAUAGGAGCUAUUGAUAUCAUUUCUAAAUCAGACAAUUAAAAUAUAUCCAAUCCCUUUUACAUUUCCUAGGCAGAAAGCUAUUAAUAAACAGUGUUAAAUAUGAUGGAUUAAACAGCUAAAGUAAUGA
rnacentral:sRNA from 1 species